rnacentral:rRNA from 1 species
UGGGGAAUAUUGGACAAUGGGCGCAAGCCUGAUCCAGCCACGCCGCGUGAGUGAUGAAGGCCUUCGGGUUGUAAAGCUCUGUGGGGAGGGACGAAAAAGGUGGGGAAGACAACGCCCCGCCCUUGACGGUACCUCCUUAGCAAGCACCGGCUAACUCUGUGCCAGCAGCCGCGGUAAGACAGAGGGUGCGAACGUUGCUCGGAAUUACUGGGCGUAAAGCGCGUGUAGGCGGGUAAUCAAGUCAGAUGUGAAAUCCCUGGGCUCAACCCAGGAACUGCAUUUGAAACUGGUUGCCUUGAGUGUUGGAGAGGGAAGCGGAAUUCCUGGUGUAGAGGUGAAAUUCGUAGAUAUCAGGAGGAACACCGGUGGCGAAGGCGGCUUCCUGGACAAUUACUGACGCUGAGACGCGAAAGCGUGGGGAGCAAACAGG